rnacentral:rRNA from 1 species
GGGUGCGAUCAUACCAGCACUAAUGCACCGGAUCCCAUCAGAACUCCGCAGGUAAGCGUGCUUGGGCGAGAGUAGUACUAGGAUGGGUGACCUCCUGGGAAGUCCUCGUGUUGCACCCC